UCUGUCCCAGUUGAUUAGAGGGAGAAGAGAGCCCAGAGCUCUCCUCCAUUUGUCGUCAACUCACCAGACCUGAGACUACUCCUGGGGCUGGCUGAAGUCAUGAAGCCUUUCCUGCUGACUCUGGCGGUGCUGCUGCUCUUGUCCCAGGUCAUUCCAGGCAGCGCUGAAAAAUGCUGGAAUCUUCAUGGCACCUGCCGUGGGAAAUGCGGCAAAAACGAAAAGUUCUUUCUUUUCUGCAAGAGCGGUAAACUGUGCUGCCUGAAGCUCAACUUCCAGCCGAAUUUACCACUGAAGUCACUUAGUGCUUGAAGUUCGAGGGCACGAAAAAGAAGAUAACCUUGCCCUGAGUCUGGCCUCAGUAGAUUCCUGAGCUUUAUUAAAACUCCAUUGGCUGA